rnacentral:rRNA from 1 species
UACCAGCUCUCCGAGUGGUAGGGAUGAUUAUUGGGCUUAAAGCGUCCGUAGCCGGCUUAGCAAGUCUCCUGUUAAAUUCAGCGACCUAAUCGUUGAGCCGCGGGAGAUACUACUAGGCUAGGAGGCGGGAGAGGUCAACGGUACUUCCGGGGUAGGGGUGAAAUCCUAUAAUCCCGGGAGGACCACCAGUGGCGAAGGCUGUUGACUAGAACGCGCUCGACGGUGAGGGACGAAAGCUGGGGGAGCGAACCGGAUUAGAUACCCGGGUAGUCCCAGCUGUAAACGAUGCGAGCUAGGUGUUGGGGUGGCCACGUGCCACUUCAGUGCCGCAGGGAAGCCAUUAAGCUCGCCGCCUGGGGAGUACGGCCGCAAGGCUGAAACUUAAAGGAAUUGGCGGGGGAGCACCACAAGGCGUGAAGCUUGCGGUUC